rnacentral:rRNA from 1 species
AGUGAACGCUGGCGGCAUGCCUAACACAUGCAAGUCGAACGAAGCCUUCGGGCUUAGUGGCGCACGGGUGCGUAACGCGUGGGAAUCUGCCCUUAGGUACGGAAUAACUCAUGGAAACGUGUGCUAAUACCGUAUGAUGUCUUCGGACCAAAGAUUUAUCGCCUAGGGAUGAGCCCGCGUCGGAUUAGCUAGUUGGUGGGGUAACGGCCUACCAAGGCGACGAUCCGUAGCUGAUCUUAGAGGAUGAUCAGCCACACUGGGACUGAGACACGGCCCAGACUCCUACGGGAGGCAGCAGUGGGGAAUCUUGGACAAUGGGCGCAAGCCUGAUCCAGCCAUGCCGCGUGAGUGAAGAAGGUCUUCGGAUUGUAAAGCUCUUUUGCCAGGGACGAUAAUGACGGUACCUGGAGAAUAAGCCCCGGCAAACUUCGUG